AGGGAUCAUUAAAGAGAGCCUAAAAAACUCCCGUAAACCCCAUGUGAACUUACCAUACGUUGCCUCGGCAGGCCCUGGACGCGCCUGGCGCGCACCCUCCCCCGGGGGGGGAGGCGCGGCUGGGACCUGCCGGCGGCCCAAACAAACCCUGUCAUCACUGAAUUCUGAGCCCGCACGCAGGAAAUUAAGUCAAAACUUUCAACAACGGAUCUCUUGGUUCUGGCAUCGAUGAAGAACGCAGCGAAAUGCGAUAAGUAAUGUGAAUUGCAGAAUUCAGUGAAUCAUCGAAUCUUUGAACGCACAUUGCGCCCGCCAGUAUUCUGGCGGGCAUGCCUGUUCGAGCGUCAUUUCAACCCCUUAAGCCCCCUGUUGCUUAGCGUUGGGAGCCUACGGUCCGCCGUAGCUCCUUAAAGUUAGUGGCGGAGUCGGCCCGCACCCCAGGCGUAGUAGUUCAGUCAGCUCGCCCGCGGUCGGACCGGUCCCCUGCCGUAAAACACCCCAUUCUCGCAAGGUUGACCUCGGAUCAGGUAGGGAUACCCGCUGAACUUAA
rnacentral:rRNA from 1 species